ensembl:lncRNA
CUUUUUAGGGCCACACCCACAGCAUAUGGAGGUUCCCAGGCUAGGGGGUCCAAUUGGAGCUACAACUGCCAGCCUACGCCACAGCCACAGCAAUAUCAGAUCUGAGCCAUGUCUGCAAACUACACUACAGCUCAUGGCAACGCCAGAUCCUUAACCCAAUGAGCGAGGCCAGGGAUCGAACCCGCAACCUCAUAGUUCCUAGUCAGAUUCAUUUCCGCUGCACCACAACGGAAACUCCACUCUUGGAGCUGCGGAGGAAUAUGAUAUGUAAAUGCCAGGUUAUUUUUAUAUUCUUAAUACUUAAGAUACUCCAAAAAGGUCAAGCAUUAGCCAAAAAGAACAGAAUAUUUUCAGCUUUUAAUGGACCAGACCCAUUCAUUUGCAGGAAGCUUACCAGGAGUCUCGGAGACAAGGUGGAUAACCAAGGUUGUACAUUUCUACCAAAAUAUCAAUACCUUAACUAGGUCUUAACACAAAUUGAUCUCAAGAGGAUGUGAAACAAUUCAUAAACAACUUUUUACUCAUGUGGCAGACCGGAGGAUUGAACAGAUUCAGAAAGAUUAGAUACCUUAAAGAUAGAAGCUGUGUUUUUCAAGCUCAGUUCUCCAUUCCUAGAAGGAGAAAAUGCAUGGAACUCACCAAGUUGGAAAGUAUGUUAGCCCCGAGUGGAGGGCAGGACUAAUGAACACAGAGAAAUCUGACAACUCAGUGAAACAGACUGUCAUUUCUUGCUCUUCUUACUUGACUUUAACCUUGGAAAGAAGUCUCUCUUGGACAGAAUGGAAUUGUCUGAUUUGAUUAUGGAAGUGAAGUCAUCAUCUCUAGGAAAAAGUAGCAUUCUCUCCUCAGGAUGAGCUCAUGUUCAGUUCUCUUCUGGAUUUUGUCUUAGCCUCUUGAUUGUAAAACCUACAAAGGGAGUAUUCUUGAGGUAUGUUCUAAGUUUUCACAAAUUGCUGUCUUAGAACUUAGGUUACCACUUGGGAGCGCCCACUGCACAUGUCACCAGCUACCAAAGAGGCAGCAGAAAUGAUACUUUAUCAUCUUUUUCCAGCUAUUCAGGGCCAGGUGUAUAUUCUGUGCAUCAAGCAAGUAAAUUUUAUUAGUGUUGGUUGUGUCAUAAGAAAGUCUAAAAUAAAUGCAGUGACCAUCUUGGAUCAAGAGAUAAAGCAUACAUAGAAACAUAGACUUCAAAAUGACUUCAGGAUAUUAUUUCCCAGGGCAUUGCCAGUUUAAAGAGGGGGUAGCCACUCACGUACAUUGAUUAAAGGUAGUCAGAAGAUUCAACUCUGUCCCUCAGUGUGAACACCCCAUGUGGGCAUUAGAGUAGCAUAAACUUUAUCAUGAAGAGGCAGAUCACCUCACUUUGUGAUUUCUUUCUUCCUGGAGUGCCCUUGUAAAGUUAAAAUCUCUGGGUACCCGAAGUCCACCAUUAGGAAGUUUACUCAAAAUGAGGUUCAGACCUGUAGUAUCACUGACCCUGUAGUACCUGAUAAAGCCAGCACAUUCCAAGAGUAGACUUGAAAUCCAUGUUUAAAAUGGACUUUCCACUCAUUUGACACUCUCAAGCGGCAGGUAGAAUGGAGUUAUGAUAUGGAAUAGAUGCCUCAUUAUCAGAAUGGUUUCCUGUUGUCUAACAAAGGACAAUUGUCUCCUCAAUAAUUAUUCUUUUUGUGAUUAUUUCCUAUUCCUCAUAUACCUCCAUGGUUGACUAGAACGACAGUGUUUAGGCUACAGUUUGGUCAACCAAUUGGACUUUAAGUACUGGUCAGCUUUCACUGGGUUAAGCUGUGGUAACAAACAACCCUAAAUUCUGCAUGGUUCACAGAUAUAAAGUUUUAAAUUUUGUUCAUAGAAUGGCUGUGAUUUUUCUGGGCUCUUCUUGGCUCUGGUCCAUAUGUCUUUUGAAAUCUAGGUCAAAGGAGAAGUACCAAUUGAGGCUGUGCUGUUCUUGAGGCAGAGAGAGAAUAGCUAAGCCAGAUCACAUGAAGAUUCCUAUGUCUGAUACCAAGAUUCCAGGAUUCCAAGCCUGACAUCACCCUUCUCCCAGGAAGGCCUUGCAAGUCAUACGCCCAUGAGUAAGGCUGUGUAUUUAUUACCCUUGCAGGGAAAGCUGUAUCUAACUGGGAACAGUGAUGCCAUCUACAGUCCAUCUUGUUGUCUUCUUUCAUCCAGUAAAAUACACUAGUUUACCCCUUCUCCAAAGAAGACAGUGGAAAAAUUCUAUUUAGCCCCUGAAUCCAAGUCAAAAUCCAUCAUCCUGUGAUGGUCAUUCUAUCAGGUCCAGAACAGGCUUUCUUUGAUCUGAGAUUGUCUGAAGUGAAAAGAGAGGUUACUGCCCCUCCUAUACCAUAUGCCCAAGAACCACAGUGGAAUGGAAAAGGAUAACCACAGGUAUGCCAUUCAGAAGGGAGAAGCAGCAGGACGAGAGGAGGGUGGUGGUGCUGUAGGGCACAUUGUGAUCAGGGCCCACAGAGGUUAUAAGGUCCUGUUGUGCAGAGCACCCCUACCCUGGAGGAGGAAAAGUUUCUUGAAUAGAAACUGCUUCCAUUCCCUGAAAGUAGCUUCACAGCCCAAGGUAUUUCAUGGCUAUUGGCUCUACCCUCUGGGAAAGCCUCCUUUUUCCAUGAUUCUUCCUGGUCACGUAUGAAUAUGACUCUGGAGAAUGUACACUCCUUGGAGGUGUGGCAGGUUUCUUCAUACUUAUCAAAGGCUAGAAGCCCAAAGGUCAUUUCAUAUCUCAAAUUGACAUAAUCUCUUUCUCCAGUUUUCCCAGAGGCCCUAGUUUAUGGCUAUUGCCUCAGUAUAAUGAAAAAUGCUCCUUUCUCUCAAAAUGCUCCAAUUUGGUUGAUAAAUUAUACAAUUACUUUGCUAUCCUGCAAAAAUUUUCACAAAAACCUAUGUAGCUAUUUUCUUAUUUUAUGUCUCGCAUCACCAUGUGUCAAUAACCACACACACAAUUCUUUCUCUGUAGAUUCUAUUUGUUGGU